CAACAAACUAGAGGAAAAAGAAAAAGCCCAAGGCCCGACACGAAGGCCUGAGGCCCAGACCAGUAUCAUAUGCUAAUCUUGAAUCUAGUCUAUUCAUAAUAUGCAGUCUAAAGAAUAUCUUGAAUCUAGUGGGUUUAUUCUACUCCACCAGGAAGUAAGACCAUUCCCCAUCUAGAGUUGCUGUAACUCAAAUCUAGUUCGAUAUUCCAUUCGCCUA
rnacentral:lncRNA from 1 species